UUUUUUGGCAGGGAGGAGUCUGCUUGGCAUUUGCCGACGAGGUAUUAUGCUGGCUUUAUGGAACAGUCAAAGAAAACGAAGAUUACAUUUUGCAGUAUGCUCCACCUUCCAACCGAUUGGAGCUACUGCAAGCCCAGUCUUGCCCAGAUGUAAUUACAAGUCAUUUGGAGCUACUGCAACCCCCAUCUUGACCAAAAAAAAAGGAGCUAUUGUGAAAAUUGGAAGACCUUGACAGUUAUUUAAACAAUUCAAUAUAGCUAAAAAGGGGGAAUGAACUCUGGAUUUUCCCCUGUAACUUUGAUCA